rnacentral:rRNA from 1 species
AACGAGCGCAACCCUACUUGCUAGUUACCAUCAUUAAGUUUGGGGACGUCUAGCGAGACUGCCAGUGAUAAACUGGAGGAAGGUGGGGAUGACGUCAAAUCAUCAUGCCCCUUAUGACCUGGGCUACAAACGUGAUACAAUGGCUGGAACAAAGGGAUGCGAAGCAGUGAUGUGGAGCGAAACCCAUAAAAACAGUCUCAGUUCGGAUUGAAGUCUGCAACUCGACUUCAUGAAGUCGGAAUCGCUAGUAAUCGCGGAUCAGAACGCCGCGGUGAAUACGUUCUCGGGGUUU